rnacentral:rRNA from 1 species
GAUAAACGCUGGCGGCGUGCAUGAGACAUGCAAGUCGAACGGACGAUCAGGGCUUGCUCUGAUCGUUAGUGGCGGACGGCUGAGUAACGCGUAGGUGACCUGCCCCGAAGUGGGGGAUAACUGCCCGAAAGGGUGGCUAAUACCGCAUGUGGUGGUUCGUUCAUUCGAACCAUCAAAGCAGUAAUGCGCUUCGGGAGGGGCCUGCGUCCGAUUAGCUCGUUGGUGGGGAACGGCUCACCAAGGCGACGAUCGGUAGGUGGUCUGAGAGGACGAUCACCCAGACUGGGACUGAGACACGGCCCAGACUCCUA